rnacentral:tRNA from 1 species
GGGGGUAUAGCUCAAGUGGUAGAGCGCAUGCUUAGUAUGCACUGGGUCCAGGGUUCAAUCCCCAGUGCCUCCU